rnacentral:rRNA from 1 species
GUGCCAGACUCCUACGGGAGGCAGCAGUGGGGAAUAUUGGGCAAUGGGCGCAAGCCUGACCCAGCAACGCCGCGUGAAGGAAGAAGGCUUUCGGGUUGUAAACUUCUUUUGACAGGGAAGAGCAGAAGACGGUACCUGUCGAAUAAGCCACGGCUAACUACGUGCCAGCAGCCGCGGUAAUACGUAGGUGGCAAGCGUUGUCCGGAUUUACUGGGUGUAAAGGGCGUGUAGCCGGGCUGACAAGUCAGAUGUGAAAUCCGGGGGCUCAACUGCGGGACUGCUUUUGGAACUAUCUAGCUAGAUUGCAGGAGAGGUAAGUGGAAUUCCUAGUGUAGCGGUGAAAUGCGUAGAUAUUAGGAGGAACACCAGUGGCGAAGGCGGCUUACUGGACUGUAAAUGACGCUGAGGCUCGAAAGCGUGGGGAGCAAACAGGAUUAGAUACCCCUGUAU